GCGAUAUUUAACGGAAGUUGAGCAAGUGAAGAACCUGGGAGAGCAGCUUCGAUGCCUUUGCUGAGGGGUGACGUACUUCACGUUGCUCCCUUUCCGUCUGCUUUGUACAUCCUGUAAACUACCUGCCUACCGACUCGCCUCCUUUCCUUCCGCCCCCGCACCUACCGGUUCCUCGUUACCAUUUUCUCUGCCCCGAAGUCCUCGGUCUCGCUCAACCUGCUCCUCCUCCUCCUCUGUCCUCCAUUCAGUUUAGGGUGCCGCUUGCCAGAAACCCAGAAUUGUUGCCAACUCGUCUUUCUCUGUCAUCUCUCCUGUAGUUUUUGCAAAUCUCUUGUUUCUCUCCACUGUAGUAGUGAUAAUGAUCACAUUGAUAGUGGUGAUGAUAAAGAUAGUUACUGUUUAUAUGUGUAGGGUUAUAUAUCUAUUAUAUGUAAUAGAUAUAAAAUAUAUAUUAUUUUAAACAUAUAUUCUGUAUUGAGUUUUAGGUGAAAAGCGCUUAAAACAGUUUGGUUUUUGGGCCAGGGGAGCAUUGCCAUUUAAAAACUGCUUUCAGUUUAUAAUGCAGGGAACUUUCAGAUCAUCUUUAUAGCAGAACCCUUUGAGGGGGCCCCUUUCCUUUGUAUGGAUGUAAGGUAAGUACCACCCACCUACUGUUUUGGUAGAAGUGUAUCGAGGAGUAUGUGUUAGCUUGGCAAAGACCUGUAUCUUAGACGUGUUGAUGAAUGAAGUGAGGAGAUGCCCAUGUGCUAUUUACGUCUGUGUUGUUGAACAAGAAGCCUUCUGGGAAGAGAAGCUAAAGGCAGACUCCUUUCUUUAGAGGCUCAAGUUUAUUGGAACCCGUUUAACGGACUGGAGAGGGGUUGACUGAGGCCAGCUAGCAGGAAAGGACAACAUGAGCCCCUGUCAUGGUAGAAUCAGAACACUCCUGGACCAGUGUCAGGCAGGCAUCUAUUCCUAAUUCUAGUCCAUGUAAUGCCUUUCUCUCCCUCCCCACAAUUGAGGGUCAUUUUCUGUAAUCGGCUUACAAAAUGGGUGAGCCAGCUUUGUGCACAGUGGCCUUUUGCUUCUUUCUGUAAAACUAAUUCUGAAAGCAUCUUUAAACAGCACUAGUAACUUUUUAAAAAAUUGUGGUAAAGUAUACAUAACAUAAAAUUUACCAUCUCAACAAUUUUUAAGUGUAAGAGUUCAGUGGCAUUAAGUACAUUCAUGUUGUACAACCAUCACCACCAUCCAUGUCCAGAACAUUUUUGUCUUCCCAAACCAAAACUUGACACCCGUUAAACAGUAGCUUCCCAUUUUGCCCUCACCGACCACCACCCCCAGCCCCAGGCAACCACCAUUCUGCUUUCUGUCUCCAUGAAUUUGAUUACUCUAGGUACCUCACAUGAGUGGAAUCAUACACUUGUCCUUUUGUAACUGACUUCUUCCACUUAACAUAAUGUCUUCAAGCAUCAUCCAUGUUGUACCAUGGGUCAGUACUUCAUGACUUUUGAUGGCUGAAUAAUACUCCAUUGUAAGGAUAUGCCACAUUUUGUUUCUCUAUACAUCUGUUGAUGGACACUUGCCUUGCUCCUACCUUUUGGCUAUUGUGAAUAAUGCUAGUAUGUACAUGUGUGUACAAAUAUCUUAAACAACAUUAGUAUCUUUUUAGGCUGUUUUUCACUUUAAGAAGAGAUUAAAGCAAUCUAGUGACUGGUAAGAUAGGAAGCUCUGAGAUAGUGAGAUAAGACUCCGGGGUCUGCUUUCCCUAAUUGUGUUGGUUUUGUAAAACAACCUAAGAUUUUCCCCCCAAUGCACCCUCCUUCAUUAGUGUGUGGGGAAACCUGGCAAGCCCUAAAGAAGGCUCACUUUACCUUGAGUUCUCCCAAGACACCUGUGAUUCUCCCUGGCCAUUUGACAGAAUGUGGGGAAGGCUCUUGGUCUUACUGUCCUGGAAUACUAGGAUCAGGAACCAUUAUCAUUCAUUCAUUUAUUCAUUCAACAAAUAUGUCUUAAAUGCUUAUUAUGUACCAUUGUGUAUGUGAGUGUGAGGUGGGGUGACAGAAAAAAGUCCCCACUCUUCUGAUGCUUAUAUUCAGUAGAGGAUUAUAGAUUUAGAUGCAGGUGGAGAUAUCCACCAUUGCUAGUUAUAUUGUCUUUGUUUUUUCCUUAUAGUCUUUCCUUUGGAGGCCUAAAAGUUACUUUUUUGGGGGGACAGUAAAUUUUAAGAGUUAAAUGUUUUGAGGUUUGAUUGUGAGAGACUGUUCUAAUCACCAUGUUGAUUCUGGACCUAAUAAAAUGGCAGGAAUGAUAGUGUAGGUGAUGAAAUAGUUUCAGAGAACUUAGGUGACUUGCCCAGCUCACGGAGCUAGUCCUGGACUAAGGCACAUGCUCUUAAUCCAGACUCCACACAGUCCCCUGGAGAAGCCACAGCUCAAGGACACAGGCCUGACCGCUGUCAGGGAAUCCUUACUUAUGGAAUGUACUAAUUGGUUAAUGUAGAAAUUUUGUGCCAUUUCAAUCAAUACCCCAGUGGAAUUUUUCUUAACUUAAAAUAAUUCUAGAAUAUAGAUAAAAGAAUAAGUGGGAUGAGAGGGAGGUAGAAAGCUAUGAAAUUUUUGAAAAAUGAAAAUAACUAGUAGUCUUGCCCUACUAGAUGUUAAAAUGCCAUAUUUUGUAAAGCCACAGUAAUUGACCUAGUGCGGUGCUGGUGCCAAAAUCAACUGACAGGUAAGUGAACUCGAAUAGACAGGCCACAAAGAAACCCAUUAGAAUUAGAAUUUGGUUAGAUAUUAAAGGAAGCAUAAAAAUCGUUGACCAAGUGGAACUGGAACAGCUAGUUAAAGAUUUGGAAAUAAAAUUUUUAAUUAUAUCUUACCUCUUACCAUAGAUCAAAAUAAAUUUUAGAGAUUAUUUUAAGUUAAAGAAUUAAAUGCUAACAAAGCCUUUAAAAAACAGAAGAAAAUAGAUGAAAAAAUAUAUAUAUAAUAAAAUAUAUAUUUUCCUUCUUCUUCUCUCCAAAGCCCCCCAGUACAUAGUUGUAUAUUCUAGAUGUAGGUCCUUCUGGUUGUGCUAUGUGGGAUGACGCCUCAGCAUGGCUUGAUGAGUGGUGCUAGGUGCAAGCCCAGGAUCUGAACCAGCAAAACCCUGGGCCACCAAAGUGGAGCACGUGAACUUAACCACUUGGCCACGGGGCCAGCCCCUAGAUGAAUAUAUUUUUAAACACUUAAAUUCCAGUAGACAAUUCUCAGAAUGUCUAAUAACAUUAAAAGUAUUCAGCCUCACUAGUUUCUAAGAGAGAGCAAAUUAAAACAAUGACAUAAUUUAAUCUAGCAAAUUGACAAAGGUUAAAAAAAUUCAGUGUUCUUAUGGGUGUGGGGAAAUAGGUAAUUUCAUAUGCUAACGGUAGAAAUAUAAAUUGGCAUGACUUGUGUACGAAGCAAUUUGGCAAGAGUCUUUUCAAAAUUUUUAUCUAUUGACUCAGUUAUAGCACUUUUAGGAAUAUAUUCCAGGGAAAUACUGAGAAACUCUAACAUUUGUAUAUAAGGACACUUAAUAUGGGAUUAUUUAUAACAACAACAAAUAAAUACCUUAAAAGUCUAGCAGUGGGGGCGAGUUAAAUGAAUAAAGAAAUAACAUGUUAUAGUCCUAGUUUAAUGUUUAAUUCUAGUGCUAAAUUUAAAUAUAUAUAUAACAAUACAGGCAUAGUUGUAGAUUAGAUAGAAAGAAAAACGAUUAAGAAGGAAAUAUGCUCAAAUACUAAGAGUCAUAGGUGAAUGACCAGAUUACUGAUUAUAUUUAUGUUCCUUAAAUUUUUCCAAUUUCCCUAUAAUUUACAUGUAUUGCUUUUAGAUUCACAAAAAUUUUGAAGUUGAUUUAAAAACAUUAACCUGUCCUUGUGUUUUUAUGCUUCUAUUAUUUCACCCAAAAUAUGUGAAAAAUGUGUUUCUCAAGGGGCCUGAAGGACGGGGUCACGCUCCGCUCCCUCUCAGUAUCCUCUGCUUAUCCUUGGGGACAGGCACAGUCAGAGCCCUGGACAAGGCAGGGAGAAAUGAAGAGUGCGGGAUGCAGGCCUCCUUCAUGUGUGGUCCUAGGCGUCCACUCGCCCUUCGGGUUUCAUUUCUCUGGCUGAUCUGUGUCUACCAUCAAAUAAAUUGUAGUUCCUCUGGUGUCUAGCCUGUAACUCAGACAAAAUCCAUCAUUUCCUUAACUUCUCUGUUUUUGAGAGGAUUAAUUAAUUAUUCCUUUUUAUUAUUUUGUAACUGGUAAGUCACAGGGUUAACUUGGCUGCAGCCCUCGGAGGUGCACGCUAAGAAUAUUUCCUCAGCAUAUGCUUGGCCCUGGAGUCCUUGUCUGGCCCAGGCUGACUCGGCAGCUUCCCAGGACCCGUCUGCCCCCCCCCCCCACUUCGCCCCUGCAGUGCUUCACCACACGGUGUUCCCCAGGAGGGGCUCCCACGUAGGGAGGGCUCAAUCUGGUUUGAUUCAAAAGAGCCAAACUUCUCGGCCUUUUGGUGGUCCAGUGGUCCAUGUGUGGGGACAGCUGUGAGAGGAACUACAAAGAGGAGGAAGGUGGGAGUGAAGGAAAACAUGUGGAGGGAGAGAGAAAGGCAGAGACACACAAGCGUUUGCAGCCUGGCUCUGCAAUGGCGUGUAUGGAUAGCCUGCCUUCGUUAACCACCGCCAGCUGAAUAGGAAUCCUGUCUGUGUACCAGCUUGGCUGUGGCGUGUGGGUGGCCUUAGCGCUUACUUCUGGAAGCACCCGCAGGGGCCUCGGCCUGUGAGUCUCCUCCUGGAGCUCUGUGCUGUGCACAGGAUUGAACACAGGGUGGCAGUAACACCACAUCUGGCCUCCAACGCCCGCCCUGCCACCUUCGCCCUGUUCCCCCACACACAGCCUGAUGCAAGCUGGAAACACACACACACACAUUCACACACGGCUGUCUUCCAACCGAGGUGGUGACACGUUACCUCAUCAGGUGGGACCUGUGUUAGAUUGAGUUUGCCUCUUCUGUAGGCAUUGCAGGCAGGACAGGCUACGUGAGUUCCAGAGCCCAGUGCAAAAGGAGAAUGGAGGGCCCCUUGUUCAAAAAGCAGGAAAAAGAUGCUGUUAAGGGUAGUAAAAUAUAAAGCCAAGCUCAGUGAGACUGUACCUCAGGCGCCUCUCCCUUCUUGCCUGGGGCUUCUUGGAGGUUGACACGGGACACCUGAGGAACCAGGGCCUGCUCGGCGCUCACACACACACGGCUACCGAGUGCAAGCCAACAGACACCCGUGGGGAGCCCUGACGAUAGGGGAUGGAAGCCUAUGGAUAACACGUUUCCUAUGACGCCUCCAAGGUCUCAGAGAUACGGAGCAGCAGUCCCUAACAAAGUCACACACCCUGGUGUUGCUUUUUCCCCCUUUCUUGUUCCGCUGCCCUGACCCCUCACUCCUGCUCCCCGGGGUUGCUGCCCAAAUCUACUGCUUGCACAUAAACCUCUGACUUGGAUUCUGCUUUUGCGGGUGGUGGGAGAGUAGCAGGGGGACCCAGGCUAAGAGAGAAAUAUCCCAUCCAACAGAUCAUCCACAGCUUGUUGCUUCUACAUCUAAUCCUCUUUCACAUUUUCUCCAUUCCUGCUCCUGCUCCUCUGGUUCAGACCCUCUUCAUCGCUUGCCUGAACUAGUAAUAACUGGAUUCCUAACUGCUCUUUCUGCCUCCCUUUUUAUUUUACUUAACCCAUCGCCUUUCCCCAAAAACAUCCACCCUUUUCAGCUGCCAGAGUGAACUUUCUAAAACUACAGCUACUCCCCUUUAGUAGGUCCCCCUGCCUCCAGGGUGGUUCUCCCUCUGGAAGCCUUCAUUUCCGGCAACCUUUCCAUUCAGUUCGGUUUAUUUCAUCAAAUGCUUAAUUAACACCAGGCACCUAGCAGUUUCUGCCAUCCAAGGGGUGAGGAGCAGGCGACAACAUGGGUGAUGGGGGAAGAUGCUACAAAUUACCGAGAGGAGAGGAACCUGAGUUGCCUCAAGAAGAUGAUGGGAGAGUGAAGGGCUUUCAUGGACUUCUCUAAAAUACAGUCACAGAACCUGUGUCUUCUUCCUCUGUGAGUCAUCUUCAGGGACGAACAGUGGUGUCUCUCUUCUCUUUGAUUUACUGCCAUGAAGUUUGGGCGAUGCUGUAAUACCUUGUUUGUAUGAAGAAACUUCCAAUCCCCAGAGUGACCAAGAGAGGAAUUUCCAGUGGGAUGCUGGCAUCAUUUAAUGGCUGGCUCUCCAGAGACAAAAAGCUCUCUGCUGAUUUCCAUGGUAUAAGUACUCUCACAGUGGCUAAUUUUUAAGCUAUCAAUGUGACGUCACUGAGUGUGGAGCUGGGAAGAGUUAGGAAGAGAUGUGCAUAAUCGGCUCCCAAAAACCCAUAGGUGCCGGCUUCAACAUACGAUUGAAAUUUCCUUCCUACCAGGGUGGUGAGCAGCCCUGGCUGGAGGUCUCAGCCAGAGGAAGGAUGACCACCAACAGGGAGGCUCCCUCUCAAUGGCUCCGUCUCAAUCCAAAGACGUUGAGACGCCAUCAUUCCACUUACAAUGUAAAUCACUUCCUUCAUAGCCAAACAUUUUUAGAGAAUAAGAAUAUGUUAAACACCAAAACUCUAUUCCUUUUUGAGAAAAGCAAUAGAGAUGAGUUGUUCUCCCUGAAUAAGCCAGGGAUUCAAUGUUGGUGAUGGAGUUCAAUUUACGUAGGAUAUUUUUCCCACCAUCAUCAGCCUAGAGGGCAGGUCUCCUUGCAGAUGUCAGGGCAGCUUCAUCUGCGGCUAAAUUUGAAAACUCCCCUUGGAGAAUUUCAUAUCCCCUAGGUCACUGUACUCAGUUUUACAGUCCCCUUAAAGUUUUGCAGUCUGAAGGGCAUUAUCUGUGAAAAGUCAUGAAGUCUGUAUUGGUUAGAAUGAUUUGAGUACAAAUAACAAAGCACUUUGACCCAACCGGCUUAAAUAAUGAAGAAAUACAUUAUCUCCGAUAAUGAGAAGUCCUAAGGUAGGAAAACACCAGGGUUGGUUAAUUCAGAGAUUCAAGAAUGUCAUUAAGGAUCCAGAUUUCUCCCAUAUUCCUGCUCUGUCAUCCUUUGUCCUGUUUAUCUCCCCUCAUGGUUGUAAGAUGGCUGCCACUUUCUAGGCACGAAUGGCAACAGCUUUUGAAGAAGGACCAACUCUUCCAAUAGAGGAAAACUUUUCCAGAAGCUUCAUUGGAUAGAAUUGGGUCAAACAUCCUUUCCUAAAUCAAACCAUGUCAUAGAGACUGGAAUUACUAUGAUUAACUUAAAAUAAAUCGGAAUUUAACCAUGAGUUACAUUGGAGAGAGGUAAACACCCAGACAAAAUUGUGUUCCUGCUUGGUAGGCAAUUGUCAUCCCAAGGACUCUUCCACUAUUCUGAUCCUAAGAAUGUUGACGUGUACAGGUCAUUUGGUCCUUUUGGCUGAUCAGAGAUCCACUUGGAUCAGACCAAUGAACUUGAUCAGAAGCAAAUUAUGCUAUGUUUACUAAAUUGAUUAAACUCAAGAUCAGUUUAUCAAAAAAUAUUUGUUAAGGACCUAGUGGGAACCUGGCACUUAAAAGUUACAAUCAUUAAGCACUGGAUCUGCUGAUGAGUAGACAUGGACAACUGGACUUAGAGCUCUUAAUCAGCCAGCAGAAUAAGUAAAAAUUUCUUCAAGAUGAGGAGGGGUAAAUACUUUAAAAAAAUACAUGACUAUGGCUUUCAAUAAGGAUGCCAAGACAAUUCAUUGGGAGAAAGACCAGUCUUUCUAACAAAUGGAGCUGGG
rnacentral:lncRNA from 1 species